UGCCAGCAGCCGCGGUAAUACGGAGGGGGUUAGCGUUGUUCGGAAUUACUGGGCGUAAAGCGCACGUAGGCGGAUUGGAAAGUUGGGGGUGAAAUCCCGGGGCUCAACUCCGGAACUGCCUCCAAAACUACAAAGCUAGAGGAUGUGAGAGGAUAGUGGAAUUCCGAGUGUAGAGGUGAAAUUCGUAGAUAUUCGGAGGAACACCAGUGGCGAAGGCGGCUCCCUGGCCAAAGACUGACGCUCAUGUGCGAAAGUGUGGGUAGCGAACAGGAUUAGAUA
rnacentral:rRNA from 1 species